GCCCGAGUGGUGAAAUUGGUAGACACACUAUCUUGAGGGGGUAGCGCUCACAAGGCGUGCCGGUUCGAAUCCGGCCUCGGGCACCA
rnacentral:tRNA from 1 species